rnacentral:rRNA from 1 species
GACGAACGCUGGCGGCGUGCUUAACACAUGCAAGUCGAACGGUGACCCUCGGAGCUUGCUUCGGGGUGAGCAGUGGCGAACGGGUGAGUAACACGUGAGUAACCUGCCCCUGACUCUGGAAUAAGCGCUGGAAACGGCGUCUAAUACCGGAUACGACACGCCUCCGCAGGGGGAGCGUGUGGAAAGUUUUUCGGUCUGGGAUGGACGCGCGGCCUAUCAGCUUGUUGGUGAGGUAAUGGCUCACCACGGCGAUGACGGGUAGCCGGCCUGAGAGGGCGACCGGCCACACUGGGACUGAGACACGGCCCAGACUCCUACGGGAGGCAGCAGUGGUGAAUAUUGCACAAUGGGCGAAAGCCUGAUGCAGCGACGCCGCGUGAGGUAUGACGGCCUUCGGGUUGUAAACCUCUUUCAGCAGGGAAGAAGCGAAAGUGACGGUACCUGCAGAAGAAGCACCGGCUAACUACGUGCCAGCCGCCGCUGUAAAAC